UAUAUUUGAUAAGGCAUCUUAUUAAUAUUAAAGCUUCGGCACUUGAUGAUGGGUGUGCGGCUGAUUAGAUAGUUGGCGGGUAACGGCCCACCAAGUCUACGAUCAGUAGCUGAUGUGAGAGCAUGAUCAGCCACACGGGCACUGAGACACGGGCCCGACUCCUACGGGAGGCAGCAGUAAGGAUAUUGGACAAUGGACGAAAGUCUGAUCCAGCCAUGCCGCGUGAAGGAUUAAGGUCCUCUGGAUUGUAAACUUCUUUAUAUGGGACGAAAAAGGGCAUUCUUGUUCACUUGACGGUACCAUAUGAAUAAGCACCGGCUAACUCCGUG
rnacentral:rRNA from 1 species